CCUACGGGGGGCAGCAGUGAGGAAUAUUUGUCAAUGGACGAGAGUCUGAACCAGCCAAGUAGCGUGAAGGAUGACUGCCCUAUGGGUUGUAAACUUCUUUUAUAUGGGAAUAAAAUGUUCCACGUGUGGGAUUUUGUAUGUACCAUAUGAAUAAGGAUCGGCUAACUCCGUGCCAGCAGCCGCGGUAAUACGGAGGAUCCGAGCGUUAUCCGGAUUUAUUGGGUUUAAAGGGAGCGUAGGUGGAUUGUUAAGUCAGUUGUGAAAGUUUGCGGCUCAACCGUAAAAUUGCAGUUGAAACUGGCAGUCUUGAGUACAGUAGAGGUGGGCGGAAUUCGUGGUGUAGCGGUGAAAUGCUUAGAUAUCACGAAGAACUCCGAUUGCGAAGGCAGUUCACUGGACUGCAACUGACACUGAGGCUCGAAAGUGUGGGUAUCAAACAGGAUUAGAUACCCCAGUAGUC
rnacentral:rRNA from 1 species